UUUAUUUCAAUUAUUUUCAAAUUUAUUUGGGCAAGUUACUCAGCAAGCUUUACUUGCUGUAUUUCUUUAAGUGAAACGUGUACACUAGUUUUGUAAAUAUGUCAUCUCGGCAAAUAGCUGCUGCGGUUGUGAUAUAUUUAAUAAAAAAACGAAAAGAGAAAAAGGAAAAAAAUAAAAGAAAAAUUUGGGUAAGAAAAUGGAUUCAGCGUAGAGCUACUUUAGGAUUACAUGAGAAGUUACUUAAUGAGUUAAGAAUGGAAAACCCACAACAGUUGAAAAACUUUCUACGAAUAUCUGCAAAAGACUUCGAUUUUUUGCUUGGUUUGGUGAAGGAAAAGAUAUAUAAGAAAGAUACAAAAAUGCGACAGGCCAUUAGACCAGAAGAACGCCUGUCUUUGACACUUCGCUUUUUAGCCACAGGUGAUUCCUACCAUUCUCUUAUGUAUUUGUAUCGAAUCCCUGUAUGCACGAUCGCAAGGAUUGUUCCUGAGUGCUGUGCUGCAAUUGUGGAAGCUCUAAAAAAGGAAUAUUUAAAGGUUCCAAAUACCCAAGAAGAAUGGAUUAGGAUUGCAAAAGAUUUUGAAAAUAUCUGGAAUUUCCCAAACUGCCUAGGAGCUCUGGAUGGAAAACAUGUCGUUAUGCAAGCCCCACCUUGCAG